rnacentral:rRNA from 1 species
GACGAACGCUGGCGGCGUGCUUAACACAUGCCAGUCGAACGGAAAGGCCCUGCUUUUGUGGGGUGCUCGAGUGGCGAACGGGUGAGUAACACGUGAGUAACCUGCCCUUGACUUUGGGAUAACUUCAGGAAACUGGGGCUAAUACCGGAUAGGAGCUCCUGCUGCAUGGUGGGGGUUGGAAAGUUUCGGCGGUUGGGGAUGGACUCGCGGCUUAUCAGCUUGUUGGUGGGGUAGUGGCUUACCAAGGCUUUGACGGGUAGCCGGCCUGAGAGGGUGACCGGCCACAUUAGGACUGAGAUACGGCCCAGACUCCUACGGGAGGCAGCAGUGGGGAAUAUUGCACAAUGGGCGGAAGCCUGAUGCAGCAACGCCGCGUGCGGGAUGACGGCCUUCGGGUUGUAAACCACUUUCGCCUGUGACGAAGCGUGAGUGACGGUAAUGGGUAAAGAAGCACCGGCUAACUACGUG